rnacentral:ncRNA from 1 species
UAAUUCUGUUAUAUUUAUCUUUAUUUAUAAAGUUUUAACUUGGCUUUAAAAAUUUAAUAUUUGUUUAAAAUUUAUGUAUACUUUGGAGGUUUUAGAAAAUUGUUAAGCAGCGUUUAGUAUUAUAAAUACGGUAAUUCGGGGUUUAGUAAUUCAUCGGAGUUCUAACUAAAUUCGUGCCAGCAGUUGCGGUUAUACGAAUAGUGCGGUUAAGUAUUUUAUUAGUUCAAUUAAUUUGUUAUUAAUGAUGAUUUAAUAAAUUUUUGGGUGAAAUUAUAUUUUAUUAUAAGUUAGUUAUAUUUUAUUUGAAAUUUGUUAAGCUUUAUUAUUUAAACUAGGAUUAGAUACCCUAUUAUAUUAAGUGGAUGAUUUGCUAAGGUUAGUAUUAGUUAUGGUCUUGAAAAUUAAAAAUUUUGGCGGUACUUUAGUCCUUUCAGAGGAACCUGUUACAUUAACGAUAGUCCACGAUUUAUUUCACUUAAUUUAUAAGUUUUUAUAUCGUCGUGGUUAAGGAUUUUAUAAGAAAGUUCUUAGAAUAUUGUAUAUAAUAAUAAUCCAGAUCAAGGUGCAGCCUAUACUUAAGGGUUAAUGGGUUACAUUUAUAAAAGUAAUGGAUAUUUUAUUGAAAUUAUUAUUGAAAUUGGAUUUGACAGUAAUUAAUUAUAUUUUUUAGAGAUGAUUUAGGUACUAAAGUAUGCACAUAUCGCCCGUCGCUUUCAUAAAUUGAGAUAAGUCGUAACAAAGUAGAUGUACUGGAAAGUGUAUCUAGAAAGCA